CCUACAGGUGGCAGCAGUAGGGAAUAUUUCACAAUGGGCGAAAGCCUGAUGGAGCAACGCCGCGUGCAGGAUGAAGGCCUUCGGGUUGUAAACUGCUUUUAUAAGCGAGAAAUAUGAUGGUAACUCAUGAAUAAGGAUCGGCUAACUACGUGCCAGCAGCCGCGGUCAUACGUAGGAUCCGAGCAUUAUCCGGAGUGACUGGGUGUAAAGAGUUGCGUAGGUGGCAUAAUAAGUAGCUAGUGAAAUCUGGUGGCUCAACCAUUCAGACUAUUAGCUAAACUGUUAAGCUCGAGAACGUUAGGGGUAACUGGAAUUUCUAGUGUAGGAGUGAAAUCCGUAGAUAUUAGAAGGAACACCAAUGGCGUAGGCAGGUUACUGGAACGGUUCUGACACUGAGGCACGAAAGCGUAGGGAGCAAACAGGAUUAGAUACCCCGGUAGUC
rnacentral:rRNA from 1 species